ensembl:lncRNA
GAGGACCUACUUUGUGACAGGCAUUUGCUGGCAGUGGGAUACAGCAGAGAGCAAGACAGACGUGACCCCUGCCACAUGUCAACUUUGCUGGAAUGGAAAUGUCUCCUCCACAAUGAAAAAAAAAAAUCAUUUGGAUGUGAAUCAAAAUGGAAUCUGGUCUCCAGAGCAGAACUCCUGGCCUCUAGCCUCAACUUUAAGCAUUUACCACUACUGACCUUGUUUGCCUGAGAAAGUCCAUUUCUUUCACUUUUGAGGGAUGAUUUCACUGGAUACAGAAUUAUUUCAACAGUUUGAAUAUUUCACUUCCCUUUCAUCUUGCUUGCUUGGUGUCUGAGGAAAAGUCUGAUAUAAUCCUUACCUUGUUCCUCUUAUGAAAUUGGCAGCUGCACUUUCUUGAAAUAAUAUUAAUAACAGUGCCUAGCACUUACCAAGUGAUUACUAUAUGGCAAACGUGGUUGGAUGGGCUUCACAUGUUUUCACUCAUUUAAUCCUCACAGGAACUCUUUGAGUUGCUAAGUUGUGUCCAAAUCUUUUGCGACCGCAUGGACUGAGCCCACCAGGUUUCCUUUGAACAUGGGAUUCCCCAGGCAAGAAUACUGGAGUGGGUUGCCAUUUCCUUCUCCAGGGGAUCUUCUCCACCCAGGAACUGAACUCAUGUCUCCUAUAUUAGCAGUGUCAUCAUGGACCGAAACCCAUCUGUGAACCUGAAUUAGAAGACCUGGUUCUGUCCCGAGGAGCUCAUGUUUUGAUCUAAGGGGACCUGGGGAUUAGCUCAGACAUCCUCUGGGCGAGGAUGGCCCACAGUGUUGGAGUGUGAUUGGCACAUGGACGGAGCCAGUCCAGGCCUUUCUCCUGAUGCCCAGAGGCUGGGGAAUAGGAGAGUUCUGGGGAACGCCUCUGGGAGCUCUGUCCUCAGCUGUCUGACGUUAUCGUUUCCAUCUGGAGGCUUUGAUCUGAGAAUUAGCCGAGGCUGUCCCAUCCAUGGAGGUUCGAGCACUGGCCAGAAAACCUG